rnacentral:pre_miRNA from 15 species
CAAGGACCCGAGCCGGGGCCUUCGCGAGUUCCGUGCUUCCUUACUUCCCAUAGUGCUUUAAACGUAUGGAAUGUAAAGAAGUAUGGAGCGAACGCGGGCUUUCUUUGCUCUCCUCCUC